CUGGAAAUACUUUCUUAAUUUUCUCUUAAAACUUUUUAUUGUAGAUGUAUGGAAAUUGAACUGAUUUUUGGUGCUGAUACUGUAUUCUGCAAAUACGCUGAAUGUGUUCAUUAGUUCCAGUGGAAUUUAGUUGACUCUGUGAUUUUCUACACAGAAGAUCAUGUCAUCUUCAAACAAAUACAGUUGUACUUUUUUUCUGAUUUGAAUGAGUUUUAUUUCUCUUGCUUUGUAAUUACUCUUGCUAGGACAACAGUAUUUAUUGAAUAGAAGGAGUGAGAGCAUACUUACAUCAUAAGACUCUACAAGAAAAGCAUUGUGUUUGUUUUGAUGUUAUUUCUGCUGUGGUAAUUUCAAGGAUGGUCUUUAUAUUAUUGAGGCAAAUUUCCUUCUCUAUUUUGUUUAGGAUUUCUAUGAUGACUGAAUGUUGAAUUUUGUGAAAUGCUUCUUUCCCAUCUAUUCAGAUGAUGUCUUUUUCAUCUUUCAUUCCAUUCAAAUGGUAUAUCACAUUGAUUGGCUUGAAUAUGUUGAACCAUCCUUGCAUCCCAGAAAUAAGUGGCGCUCGAAUAUCUACAAUCCUUUUUAUAUCCUCUCAAAUACAGGUUUUUAGUACAAGUGGUCUUCAAGAAGUUUAUU